rnacentral:rRNA from 1 species
UGCAGAGGUCUCGAGCGUUGUUCGGAUUCAUUGGGCGUAAAGGGUGCGUAGGCGGCGAGGUAAGUCGGAUGUGAAAUCCCGGGGCUCAACCCCGGAACUGCAUUCGAUACUGCCUUGCUCGAGUACUGGAGAGGAGACUGGAAUUUACGGUGUAGCAGUGAAAUGCGUAGAUAUCGAUAAGGAAGACCAGUGGCGAAGGCGAGUCUCUGGACAGUUACUGACGCUGAGGCACGAAGGCCAGGGGAGCAAACGGG